AUGAAAUUAAUCGAUGCAAUUGUAAAAUCGAUGGAAUGGUCCAUUAAAAAUAAAACAUCUAGACUUCAUUCACGAAGGAAAGCAAGAAGAGAGAAACUCUUGAGCUUAUACUGCGAAAAUCCACGAAAUUUGGAGAGCAAGCACAGAAUAGCGCUGGACCAAUAUUCAAGCAGUGAAACCAGAGUCACUAAAUACCUCAGUCUUGAGACAAUACCUUCAAAACAAAAGAUCAAUAGGGGAAACUUUUUAAAUUUAAGUUCAAUACUGAGGAAACUUCAAGCCUUGCGACAACUACUGAGAAAAAUUUUGGACGAUUUGGACGACUUGUACAUCUUCCAUAGCAAAACUUAUUAUCACAUUUGUAAAAAAUGUUGUAGCUUUGCUUACAAUGAUAAAAAAAGUCAACUGGAAAUAUCUGAUAUCAUUGAUACUUUAAUGCAAUCUCUUGGAAUAAGUAAAAUUAUUGAGAAUCACUCCAACAAGUUUAGAAAACACUGCUUGAUUGUAAAUAAAGAUAAACCAAGACCAACGAAUCAAAAACAAAUAAACUGUAACUACCCCAGUACAGACUCAAGCGAUUAUAUGUCUUCAACUUUUUCUGAAAAUAGCACCAAUUUUCAUUCAGAAACUUCAAAUAGCUUCCGUACUAUACUGCAAUCGCCCACUAUGAGUAAGGCAAAAAAGAGCAAGCACAAUUUCAGAUGUGAAUUAAUUCUAUUUCUAUCAAUGUUACAAGAAAUCAUCUGCAAAAUCUUUGAAAUGUUCUGUGACCAGCGAAGCAAAAAAGUCAGCCUCGAUUGGAUUGAAGCAGCUGAGAAACAAGCUCAAAAAUUGCGAGAGGAGUAUUUCAUAAUACUGAAUUACGUGACUGAAUUGAUUCAUGAACCUCGGCGACAACUUCAGAAAUAUAAUGUUGGAAGAAGUCACAGAAAAACCAUUGUGAAGAUAAAAAUAAAUAUACUUAUUUCGAAGAAACAUAUUUUGAAAUUCUCUACGAAUUAUGCAAACUGA
rnacentral:lncRNA from 1 species